ensembl:lncRNA
UGCCGGGCGGGGGGAUACAGCCGGCCCCCGCCCGCCGACCCUCACCCCUCGACAGGGCUCGGGGUUCCGUUGCCUCUUGGUUGUGCUUUUCCUUUCCUUUUCUCCCCCCUUCCCCCUCCUUUUUUAUUUCUUUUUUCCUCUUGAAGGAGUCCUUGUCCGUGCGCAGCCUUAACGGCUACAGUCAGCCGUGCACCUGUAGUUCUGGGAAAUGGUUCCUUACAAAUCACUUAAUUACAGGCAUCUACGUAGGUGCAGGCAGCGUUUUUCCCCGAGGCAGCCCCAGCGGUACAGCUAAUCCACACUGUAGUGCGGAGCCCCAUCAGCAAUGCGCCUUCGUCCUCGUUGAGGCCUUAUUGAGGAUCAGGGCAAAGAAGUGGUGAGCAAAUGUGGUAACAGAAACCGAAGUGCUGUACCUAUCGGUGACGGAUGCUUCAGUGCCAAGCAAUGCCAUGCUUUAUGCCAAGGCAAAACUUACAGGCUGGAGGUAGAGCAGCAUGCACUAGUACUACGCCUUAUGCCAAGGCAAAGCUCACAGGCUGGAGGCAGAGCAGAAUGCAUCAUCUUGAUGGUAGUGUCUUUGUGACAGAGCUAGUGUUUCUAAACCUAAACCAGAGGAUUUUCAUCCUCAUUUAGACCAAUGUCGCAUAAACUUGGAGAUGUGUACCAGUGGCUGAUUACCCAUCUAGGUCAAACAAUACAUUUUUCUCCCACAGUAUUGUGAACAGAUGAACGGGAGUUUCCAGUUCCUUAUUCCACAAAAAGUGCUGUCAUCCCACAUUGAUGAGCAAAAUCAAAGGGGGAACUUCACUUAGUAUGCAGCAGCCCAAGUCCUUACCUCUUUAGCAGAGCCUUGCAACUCAACAGUUGGAGCUGUGCGCCCAUCUCUGCCCUUGUUUUUGAGACCUGGUGAUGUGUACCCAGGUCUGCUUUUCUAGGAUAGGAAACACAACAGUGGCACGGUCCAUUUGCUCUGUUAGUUUUCUUUUGUAUCUGAUACAUACCUAGCAGCUCACGUAAUUUAUUUUUGAACGUGAAGGUUCAAAAUAGUUACGCUUGCAAAAAUAUUAAUUAAAAAUACAGAAAUAUCCUGGUCGGUGUUGAUAGAACUGAAGGGAUGGAGCCUCAGUGACCACCGAGGAUGUCCUGGAAGACACGAUCAGCUUUGUCACGAUGUUUGACAAUUCCUUUUUGAUUUCGAAUCAAAGAUUUGAAUUAUCCCGACCACCUUAAGAAUACUUUUUGCACGAGUGAGGUCUUCCUUGUGUUCCACCAGGUGGCAGUCGCCUAUCACGGAUUUUUUUUUGGACAGUGCUUCGUGAUUCGUCUGUUUCCAGCUCUGCUCUGGUGGAAUUGCCUUUACAUUUCAGCGCUGUUCUCAAUGCUUUGGUGACUAUGAGAGUUGGUUAAGAGCUUUUUUUACAUAGAGUCCAACAGCAUGGUUUAGUUCAGUGGCAUCCACUCAGCAAUUGCCUUAUUUUCCAAUUACUGCUGCUGAGAAUGCACAGACAGGAACGUCAGUGAUAUAUAUGCACUAAGCAUGAAUCGAGGGAAUAAUUAGAAAUAGAAACAAAAAGCUUGGCUCCUGACAAGCGUGUAAUGCUGCUGCAUGCUAUGCAUAUAGUCUUGCAAGUGUUUAUUUCUGCAAAUGAUUCCAAUGGCUAGCUGUAUAUUCAAGGCUGGAGAGCACGUAUAUGCCUAUUUGCAAUCCAUAUCCAAUGCAUAUCAACUGUAUAAAAUAUAUAUAUAUAUUGUAUAAAUGAAAAUCCAUGUAAUGCACAGAUAAGAGUGUUUUAGAGAGCUAAACGUAUCGAACUCGCUUAAUUUCACUCAGUGGGAUGAAAAGUUGUUUUUUAGUUCGUUUCUAGUGUUUUCUGGGAAAAAGGCAUUAACUUUUAUUGCAAAGGUAGCCGCCAGAUGGAGCUCAUUGAUCACUGUAUUUUAGUUGGUAGUGGAAGAGCAGUGUUUUCAUUUAGGGAUUAACCCCAGCGAUUUUCAGUGUCUGAGCAGUAUUAACAGUGGCAAAGUUUUAGUUUCUUUUCCAGUCUUUGUGUAAGCAGUGGCUUCCAGAAUUAAAACACAACAACAGCAAACACAAUGAGAUUUCAGCCUGUUUGUUUAAAUGCUGCAGGAGAACAUCUUUCAGGACCUAUUAAAACAGCAGAUGGCACAUUAGGCCCACUGACUAGAGGGUAGACGAUGAUGCUGUUAGAAAGAUACUCGAAAGAACACUUCCAACAACCUUAAAGCCAUUCUUUUUUUUUUUUUUUUAAAUCUAUCUCAUUUUGCAGAACUUUUCUCCCUACCGAAAGGUUCACUCAUAAUCAACAAUUCUAUUUGCUUACUAGUGUUUGAGCAGCCUGAGAGGUUUGCCUUCAUGCAGAAGAAGGGAAUCCAUUGUCAUUCAGGAUGACUGAUGGUAUGGAACAAGAUUGCUUAUGGAUCCUGGUCCACUGUGAUGUCUUUUGUAAUAUACAUGAUUGUGUAGCUUAUUGCUCUUUUCCAUUUAUUAUUGAUUUUGACGUCAUUAACACUUGAGGAUAACAGGAUGUUAAACUGGGAUAUGAGAGAAAAACUCUGGCUUUACUUUUGUGUUUUGAUAACCAGCAAUAAUGGGAUAAAGCAAAACCACAUCCAGCAUCACUUUGAUAAUUAUCUGGAACUAUUUUUUUUUUCGGAGGAAUUGUGAUUCAGUGUGCUGAACAGUUUCCCCAUAGUUUCUCCUUUUACAUCAGCUAAUAAUCAAGGUUGCUGAAAAAUAAAUAAAACCAACCCAGAAUCUUUGGGCUCAGCCAAAUUUUAUUACUAAAUAGCUUAUAUAGACCUGUGUACAGUCAAAAUGAAGCACUACCAGUUCUUUCUGCUUCCCAUUGGUAAAUUUUGAUCAAAAUUGAAUUCAGUAGGAUCACUGUUCCUCUGGCUGCAUGAGUCAAACAGUUUAUUACUCAACAAAUGUAAUGCACCAGACAUUUGUAUUCAGGAUUUAUAAAGGUAUGGGCAACCAAGAAGAUUGAUUUGGUUUCAACCCAACGGCACUUGUAGAAGUAAGAAUCCACUUGUCUUAUGCAAAAAGGAUAUUAAUCCACAGAUAAUUUCUGUAGUCAUUUUGCUUUGACUUUAUGUAACACAGUCCGGUGAUUUUAAUGCAGUUACAGGCAUCAUAAAUGAUGGUGUAAUUUCUCUUUUAAGAUACAUAUUUUUUACUAGGCACAGAUAAAAGCAUAUGUAAUACAGAUCCUCUUAUAACUCUUCUAAAGACUAUAUUUUCAGUUGCCAAAGCUUUCAGUUGGUGUUUUUUUUGUGGCUUCUUCAUAUGAGAUUCUACAACUGGUUUACUUGUUUAACUGUUCCUGAAAUAAGCAUGAUGAAAAAUACAUUGUGUUUUGUCCAAAAGUUUGUAGCCAUUUUGUUGUAGGGCAAGUGUGGAGGGAAAUUCAAAUCAAGGAAGGCUGAUGUCAGCUACAGUGUACAAAGACUGCAGUCAUGGGUAGUAAUGUUCCCUUAAUGAUGGGCAACUGUAAUACCCACGGCCCUCAACGUCCUCCUUGUGUUAUAGCCACGAGUCAUAGAUUUCUCCUGACACUACUAGUAGGUUAGGUCUGAUGAAGGUGAUGAGAGACAUGGAACUGUUGAGACCUGGACUUAAAAAGUGGGCCCAGAUGAUCUUAAUGAGAUUCAACGAGGCCAAGUAUAAGGUUCUGCACUUGGGUCUGUGCAAUCUCACCUGUGUACAGACUGGGAGAAGAACUCAUUGAAAGCAGCCAUGGAGAGAAGGACUAGGGGGUCCUGGUGGAUUAAAAGCUGAAUGUGAGAUAACAGGAAAGCCAACUGUAUCCUGGGCUGCAUCAGAAGAGGGUUGGUCAGAAGGGUGAGGGAAAUAACUGAGGGAUGGAACACCUCUUCUGUGAGGACAGACCGAGAAAGCUGAAGCUGUUCAGCAUGGUGAAGGGAAGGUUCCGGGGAGAUCUGAGAGUGGCCUUUCAGUAUCCAAAGGGGGCCUGUAAGAAAGAAGGGGACAAACUCUUUAGAAGUGUCUGUUGUGGCAGGACAAAGGGAAGUGGUUUCAAACUAAAACGGGAGAUUUAGGUUGGAUAUAAGGAAGAAGCUUCUACUAUAAAGGUAGUGAAGAACUGGAACAGGUUGCCGAGAGUGGUGGUGGAUGCCCUGUCCCUGCAGACUUUCAAGGUGAGGCUGGAUGGGGCUUUGAGCAACCUGAUCUAUCUGUAGGUGUCCCUAUUAGCUGCCGGGGGAUUAGACCAGAUUAUCUAUAAAGGUCUUUUCCAGUUUUAAAUGAUUCUGUAAUUCUAUAAUGUGAGUCAUGCUGGGACUGACACAGAGCAUCAUUUCUUCUGUAGCUGAAUGUGACCAAGGGAGGAUGGAAGUGCAUCACCAGUGGUGUAUGCUGGUUGACAUGCUUGAGCUGAAUUGUCUUGGUAGGGAAAAGUGAGCCUGUGUCUUGACCAGUAGCUGCCUGUAUUCAUGUCUACAUGUGAAGCUGUCUAUUGUUGAAUCCCUAUCUGAUCCAAGACAUCAAAGACUGUUGGCAUCUCCUGGCUGUUUGUUGAUUGAUGUGCUUGUUUGGACCUGUGAGUUAGCGCACUUAAAGAAAUACAUUAUAAGGCUAGGAGAGGCAAAGCUGUGCAUACAUUUAACACCAGUUUUCUAGCUAGAUCAACACCUAGGGGACUGCCUAGCAUCUACUUUUAUGUUACCCUCCUGGCCCAGCUGUUAUCAGCCACAUGUGUUAGCAAAAAUCUCUUACCAAAGUACAGUAAGUCUGAAGAGGGAGGUUUGCAUAAGAAUGUGAAUUCAGAUGUGACCAUAUCACAGAAAAGUUGUUCUAAGGACUGCUGAGGUCUGCCACUGUAUCCCAGUUUCUAGUGGUAGAAGUAUUCCUACUGAGGAAUUCAUGCCACCAUCUAAAUGGCUUAUGAACAGCUGACCUAAAUCCAAAUUUUCACGGUCAAAACAACUGCCAGUGUCAAGUAUACAAAAAUCUCUCUGAAAAGAAGAGAUCAAAUAAAAAGGAUUUAGGUGAAACAAAAUGUUGAAUUAUACUAUGUCUGCAAAAGUGUUUCAGAAGUUAAAUAUAACCAUAACGUUGGCUGCUAAGUCCCUCAGCAACUGGCAAAGAGAAUGGAGCACAUUUGUGCAUACCCUGAGUUCCACUGACAUUUUGAUAUUUUUAUCACACUAUUUCAACAGAUACCAUGCUUGCUCAGUGUACUUUGGACACAGGGUUUCAUAAGUGCUGCAAGAAGUGUUACAGUCUCCACAGACAUUCUCAUAACGAGAGGUCAUCACUGUGCCCAUUAAUAUAUAUUUUUUUCCUUCCAGACAUUUGUGUGGUGUAGGAGACAAUUGUCACUUAGCAGAUGAAGGCAUGUGACAGCAAUUCCAGGGAGUUUCUAUCUUGCUAAACAGUGCCCUCCUUAUUGCUGUCCUAGGCAUGUGCUGGUGUUUCUUUGGGACCAAAGAAGCCUAUAUAAUGUCGAUAAUCCUUUAUAAAAAGUAUCAGGAAAUUUGGACCCAUUCAAGAAACAUUUUCUUUGGAGUCAGAUUUCAAGCUGGGCAGUUUCCUCACCCUAAUGCUCACACAGCCACACCAACAGUUGUGUCGGCUUAGUAGAGGGUGUGAUAAUGCAUUGCAGAAAGUGGUAGGAAAGGGCAGCUCAGCCUGGCAGGAAGACAAGAGCUAAACUGCCACACACAUAAUAUUGUACAUAGCUUGACUUGCACGAGGACUUAUUAAUAUGAGCAUCCAUUUUACUAACCUUCCUAUCUCACAUUCUCCCUCUAUGAUUUUAGUAGCCUCAUUUACGUACUUUAUCUUACCCAUGCUUUUUCCAACCCUUCUUAUCACACCUUUCCUCCCUGUUAUGCUGGAUAAUCAAGAGUUGGUAGUAAGGGCAUUUAACAAAGGGCAAAAAAACAUUAAGGAAGAUGCUUUACUACUCUCUACUCCCCAAACAAUUUAUAUACAUACUUAGACCUAUUUAAUCCAUGUCUUGCUAAAAGCAGGAUUAGAUGGGCUUUCCUUUUGGUUUGCAGAGAUGGAUCUGGACCCCUAAACUGUAGUUCUUGGUGCUCCCCUUGGUAUCGGUUGUUCUGAGAGGGUGGAUCUCUUCCUUCCUCUCCCUUUCCAAAGAGCCUUACCUUUUCUGAGCAUGUCUGAAGAGUGAUGUUCAAUAAUUAGAUUUUGUUGUGGCACUUGUGAAAUCUUUCUUUUUGUCUGGCACAGUUGUUUUCCCUCUUGAAUAAUUUUGCUAUCCAGGGAAAAAAAAUAGGCCGGUUGCAAACUCCUGUAUGCGGGGUCAUUGUCUUGUCUACUUGCUGUUAUAGCCCAACACUGUACUUGAGAUUGCCUAAAAACACAUCUUAGUGUAGAUUUGUAUUCAUUAUCAGGUUCUCCACUGCGUAUGAUAGGAAUAAUUACUAUCAUUGUUGUCAUUAGAUUGCAGUGUUUUCCCUCUUUUUCUUUAGACGUCUUACCUUUCUACACUUUCUACACUUUGUGAAAUGUUUUACUGUAAUGAGGAGUUCCCCAGACAUCAGUCCUGAGAGUAAUUGACUGUGUGAAGCCAGAAGAUGCCACUCUUUCUGUCAGUACUGGCACAGAGGUGGAUGUUAGGAGCCCCCCUAACCUUUGUAACAAGUAUUUGAGUAGCCACUAUUACAUAGUAGGUCACUGUUGGCAUUUUUUUUUUCAUCUUAAAUCUUGCUUUGAUUGUAAGAUAUUGACUGAACAGCCAUUGACUUCCAUGAAGCUUAAAUCACACAUGGAAAACAACUUUAUGGACUCCUCAGCUUACUGCUGGGGUUCUUCGAAUACAGAACUGGGAGAGUGGGCCGAUACACCAGAGGAUUAUGCUGCCAUGUGAAGGGACCUGAACAGGCUGGAGAAAUGCAUUGAGAGGAAUCUCGUGGAGUUCAACGAGAAGUGUGAAGUCCUGCACCAGAGGAGUAACAGCUCGAGGUACCAAUAUGUGCUGGGAGCUACUCAGCUGGAAAACAACUUGCAAAAAAGGGACCUUUGGGUCCUGGUGGACAUUAGGGUGAACUUGAGCCGGUAAUGUGCCCUUGCAGCAAAGAAAACUAAUAUUAUCCUGGCUGAUGUAGGCAAACUAUUGCCAGAAUGUUGAAGAGGUGAUAAUUUUGCUCUGUUUAGCACUGAUGAAGUCACACUGGGAGUACUGUGUGUAGUUCUGGGCUUUCCAAUACAAGAGAGAUAUGGACAUGUGGAGAGAGUGCAUCCAAAGGCCACCACUAAGAUGCUGAAGGGACUGGAGCGUGUCUCCUAUGAGAAAAGGCUGAUAGAGCUGGGAUUGCUCAGUCUAUAGAAAAGAAAGCUCAAAGGGAUCUCAUCGGUGUCUAUAAAUACUUCAAGGGAAGGUGCAAAGGGGACUGAAUCAGACUCUUUUCAGUAGUGACAAGAUAAGAGGCAACGGGCACAAGAGGGUCUUAAUGAACAUCAGAAAACAUUUAUUUACAGUGCAGGUGAUUGAGCAAUGUAACAGGUAGCCCAGAGAAGUUGUGGAGUUUCCUUCUUUGGAGAUAUUCAAAUACUCUAUGGGUGCAACCUGCUGUCUGUAUCCCUAAUUGAGUAGAGGGUUGAACCAUUGACUUCCAGAGGACCCUUCCAACCUCAACCAUUCUGAGAUUUUGUGAAAUCUAAGGCUUCAAAUUUACCUGCCACUGUAGCUAUUUGAGAAAUAAAUGGAGGAGUGACUUCAUUACUCAAAGUCCAGAAACUUUGGUCAAAAAGCAACAGUUAAUGCAUUUCUGCUUGCAGAAGUUGAAUAAUAAGAGUUCAUAGUUCCGAGCUUUACUCUUCUGAAAGGAGGGAUUUUGACAUAUGUGUCAGUGCUACUUUUAUAAUGCCAAAGAGUGGUUAGUCCCUAGGUUCUCCAGUGUUUUUACUAAUCUCAACACUAACUGCAAGCAAUUGUAAUGGAGAUCAGCUGUUAGCUUCCAUCUUGCUGCCAAACUAGGCUUGUAUCACAAGUGGAGAGGUGCUAGACAGUCAAGUGUGAAAUUCUCUUGCCUGCAUCUCUUUUAUUCAGACCUGAUGGAAAUAACACGUAAGCAAGUACAAAACCUCAGCAAUACAUACCUCAAGAGAGAGAACCUUAAAAGGCAGAUUUACUUAAUGGCAAAAUUGGGGAUUUGCAUCAGCAUUUUUUUUAGGUACUUUAAUCCAGUCAUUUAUCAAUUUAUACCAUGAGCUAAGCAAAUAUUUCAGAAAUACUGCACGAGAUUAUAAUGCAAAGUCAUGGUUUUAAGUACAAUGCUACGUGUCUUUCUUUAAUAUUCGUUGUAUACCAAAAUAGCAUGCCUUUUCUUUAAUAUUCAUUGUAUACCAAAAUAGGAUGCCUUUGUAACUUCUGGGAGGCCUAGUUCUGCUACAGACUCCUUUUAAGACGAAAAGCAAAUCACCUAAGCUUAAGUCCAGCAAAAGCCAUAAGUAUGUAAAAAUCAGUUAUUAAAUUAUUAUAAAGUAGAUGGUUCAAACCAAUUUUUUAGAAGUUUGAUGGCUUUCAGAAGCCAUCAGUAAUUGCCUCCUUCUAAACACUGUAUUUUUGACUCUUUCAUUGUGCAUAUAUGGCUUCAGAAUGAGCAACUCGCAGUCUUUAAGAAGUAUCUCCUCAGCAUCUCCCCUCCCCAGGAUUGUCCCCAGGCACCCCAGGGUGGCUGCUGGGCCCAGCCCACCUGACUGGAACCAGCUGUGUCUCACCUCAUGGGGCAGUCCUGGCCUUGCCUCACGCUGCAGCCCUAAAGCCCACCGCUGCCACUGCAUGUACACAUUAAAAAUGGUAUAGAAAGGCAACGCAUAAGGAUAUCCUGCACUUUUCACUUUCUAACUCAUAUCUCUUCAUCCAGCUUCACAGUCUCUAUCAGCUUCUGCCCUUCCUAUUUGCCUUUUCCUCUAAUGAAUCGCCUUCUAACCGGUGGCACCAGGGGAAACAACAGAAGAAAUGGGAAAGAUUUCAGAAAUGGCGUAAUAUUUUCUGCUCUCACAGAAACUAAUACCCUCAGCUUUUCUCACUUGCCUGUUUACAGUGUACGAUCUCCCAAGUGCUGCAAAAAUGUAAUAUCUGACACUUUCUCUGCUCCUCUAUAAAGAGGCUUCUGACUGCCCUCUGCUUUCCUCUGUGUAUAUGCACUUUCUGCUUUCUCUUCCACCUAAUGAAUACUACAAUUGAUAUUUUCACUUCUGAAAAGGUAAAUGCCUACCUACACCAGCACUUGGAGGAGUAAAUAUUGCAAAAAACCAAGAAAGCGAGCGAGCAACCAACCAACAUCCAAAUAAAAGAAAAACAGCCAAAGAAAGAGAGGAUUCAUUCAUCUUAAGAGUUUCCAAAGAAUUUUUGGAAACAGCAAUCAUAACAAUAAAUCUUAAGACUACAGAAAUGGUUAAACCAGUAAAAUAAUGAGCAGAGUGACCCCCAGAACAUCAGGCUGGAACAGACCAGUAGUCAUUAGCAGAAAGAAUUUGAGCUCUGGGGCAGUGUGAGCUACUCCCUCCACUUUUUGGAAGAUUUAAAAUUACUCUCAUAGUUCACUGUGCAGUCACACUUGCUAUCUCCCCAGCCAAUCUGGAGCAGCCCAUGUGUGCCUCUCCUCUGGCACAUAGCCUUGUUUGCACAGCUCCAUAUUAAGACUAGUAAUACUCUUUGCCCACGUGAAGAACCCUUGUUGCAGUGAUGUAACACGCAGUUCAAUCAUAUAAUGUUAACAAAGAGAUCUUGAGCAGACACGUAGACCCCAGUUCUGGAAAUAUUUAUAGUUAGGCUUGAGUUCUGGCAUCUUAUUAACCCCUUGAGUGUUUGGAGGAUUGAAAACUUAAUAAAAUGUUGGCUAAAGUAUUCUGUUUACAAAUGAUUCAAGAGGAAGCAUGUGCAAUGACUUAGACAAGAAAUGAAGUUUUUUCAAACAAAACAUCCUUCUAUCCAUGCUCUAUAUAUGUCAGUUUACACCAUAGAGAUUAUAAGAGAGCACAGCCAGAAAUAAACAAAUCCUAGUAGACCAAUACCCAGAUUUGUGUUUUCACUCGUGUUACCAGUAGGUCUUCUGGAAAAACAUAAUUGCUUUUUAGCUUCCAUUUAGUAUUAUUAACGUCUCAUCCUGGUUUUAAUACGCACUUUUGAAAGCCUUCACUGUACCCGUAUGAACAAGCCCUUUGAUUUCCCAUGGGCAUAAAUAUAAGCAUGUGAACAAGUUGGGAGACAUUAUUGGGACCUCUAUUGAUGUUCUGUCUUUGCUUUGCCAACUCCUUUUUUCAUAGUCUGUCACAGGAUAUUUUAUAGUUUUGGGUGAUAAAGAACUGAAAUCAGAGAGCACAGGGCAUACAUUCAUGAUACCUUCCCAUUCAUUCUAUUUCCAUGUGUGACAUGGUGAAGUUACAGCUUCUCUGACUGAAUGGUUUAGAUUGUCAGAUAUGAGCUUUAAAGUUAAGAUCUAUACUUUAGGCAAAAGUAAAGGUUAGGAUAUAUGACUAAAAUUCAUCGAGAAAAAAUUCACA